rnacentral:rRNA from 1 species
AUGAACGCUGGCGGCGUGCCUCAUACAUGCAAGUCGAGCGAACAGACGAGGAGCUUGCUCCUCUGACGUUAGCGGCGGACGGGUGAGUAACACGUGGAUAACCUACCUAUAAGACUGGGAUAACUUCGGGAAACCGGAGCUAAUACCGGAUAAUAUAUUGAACCGCAUGGUUCAAUAGUGAAAGACGGUUUUGCUGUCACUUAUAGAUGGAUCCGCGCCGCAUUAGCUAGUUGGUAAGGUAACGGCUUACCAAGGCAACGAUGCGUAGCCGACCUGAGAGGGUGAUCGGCCACACUGGAACUGAGACACGGUCCAGACUCCUACGGGAGGCAGCAGUAGGGAAUCUUCCGCAAUGGGCGAAAGCCUGACGGAGCAACGCCGCGUGAGUGAUGAAGGUCUUCGGAUCGUAAAACUCUGUUAUUAGGGAAGAACAAAUGUGUAAGUAACUAUGCACGUCUUGACGGUACCUAAUCAGAAAGCCACGGCUAACUACGUU